rnacentral:rRNA from 1 species
AUACGGAGGAUCCGAGCGUUAUCCGGAUUUAUUGGGUUUAAAGGGUGCGCAGGCGGGAGAUUAAGUCGGCGGUGAAAUUUUGCAGCUCAACUGUAAAAGUGCCUUCGAAACUGGUUUUCUUGAGUGUAGAUGAAGUAGGCGGAAUUUGUGGUGUAGCGGUGAAAUGCAUAGAGAUCACGAGGAACUCCGAUUGCGCAGGCAGCUUACUAAACUACUACUGACGCUCAGGCACGAAGGCGUGGGGAUCAAACAGGAUUAGAUGCCCUGGUAGUCCACGCAGUAAACGAUGAUUACUAGCUGUUUGCGAUACAAUGUAAGCGGCUGAGCGAAAGCGUUAAGUAAUCCACCUGGGGAGUACGUUCGCAAGAAUGAAACUCAAAUGAAUUGACGGGG